rnacentral:rRNA from 1 species
UAGGGAAUCUUCGGCAAUGGACGAAAGUCUGACCGAGCAACGCCGCGUGAGUGAAGAAGGUUUUCGGAUCGUAAAACUCUGUUGUUAGAGAAGAACAAGGACGUUAGUAACUGAACGUCCCCUGACGGUAUCUAACCAGAAAGCCACGGCUAACUACGUGCCAGCAGCCGCGGUAAUACGUAGGUGGCAAGCGUUGUCCGGAUUUAUUGGGCGUAAAGCGCACGCAGGCGGUCUGUCAAGUCGGAUGUGAAAUCCCCGGGCUCAACCUGGGAACUGCAUUCGAAACUGGCAGGCUAGAGUCUUGUAGAGGGGGGUAGAAUUCCAGGUGUAGCGGUGAAAUGCGUAGAGAUCUGGAGGAAUACCGGUGGCGAAGGCGGCCCCCUGGACAAAGACUGACGCUCAGGUGCGAAAGCGUGGGGAGCAAACAGG